rnacentral:rRNA from 1 species
UACAGAGGGUGCGAGCGUUGUCCGGAAUCACUGGGCGUAAAGGGCGCGUAGGUGGCGGCCCAAGUCCAUGGUGAAAGCUCGCCGCUUAACGGCGAGUCGGCCACGGAUACUGGGUUGCUCGAGCACUGUAGGGGCAGAUGGAAUUCCGGGUGUAGCGGUGGAAUGCGUAGAGGUCCCCAAGAACACCCGUUGCGAAGGCGGCCGACUGGACACAUAUUGACGCUGAGGCUCGAAAGCAUGGGGAGCAAACAGG